rnacentral:tRNA from 1 species
UUGUAAUUAGUUUAGAAGAAUAUUUAUUUUUGGUGUAAAAGGGUUUAUUACAAA